GAGGAAGGGGGGGUAAUAAAUAGUUAGACCUUGCUCUGGAAAACAGUCGGGACAGAAGAGAAGAGACACGUGAGGGGAAGUGCUUCCAGAUGAGCCACCUGGUUAAACGUUCAUCUCGACUGGACACAUUCUACGGGUCAGAUGCUUGGAACCUGAUGAAGAAGGGGACAUCACAGGGUCCUGGCCUAGAACGAAUCCUUUAGAGCUAAUUCAAAGGUGAGAAGCCCACGUGAGGGCCCCCAGACUGCCAUGGAGCCAUCCUUCCAUAUUCAGGUGCUCCCCCCGUCCCCCCUGGCCUGGGAACCAUACACGUGAGGUGGCAUUACAGGAGUUGUGAAGAUCCUC